rnacentral:rRNA from 1 species
UACGUAGGGGGCAAGCGUUGUCCGGCUUUAUUGGGCGUAAAGAGCGUGUAGGCGGUCAGAUAGGCCUGUUGUGAAAACUCGAGGCUCAACCUCGAGACGCCGAUGGAAACCAUUUGGCUAGAGUCCGGAAGAGGAGAGUGGAAUUCCUGGUGUAGCGGUGAAAUGCGCAGAUAUCAGGAAGAACACCCGUGGCUAAGGCGGCUCUCUAGUACGGUACUGACGCUGAGACGCGAAAGCGUGGGGAGCAAACAGG